rnacentral:rRNA from 1 species
AGCGGGGGAUAACUAUUGGAAACGAUAGCUAAUACCGCAUAACAAUGGGUGACACAUGUCAUUUAUUUGAAAGGGGCAAUUGCUCCACUACAAGAUGGACCUGCGUUGUAUUAGCUAGUAGGUGAGGUAACGGCUCACCUAGGCGACGAUACAUAGCCGACCUGAGAGGGUGAUCGGCCACACUGGGACUGAGACACGGCCCAGACUCCUACGGGAGGCAGCAGUAGGGAAUCUUCGGCAAUGGGGGCAACCCUGACCGAGCAACGCCGCGUGAGUGAAGAAGGUUUUCGGAUCGUAAAGCUCUGUUGUAAGUCAAGAACGAGUGUGAGAGUGGAAAGUUCACACUGUGACGGUAGCUUACCAGAAAGGGACGGCUAACUACGUGCCAGCAGCCGCGGUAAUACGUAGGUCCCGAGCGUUGUCCGGAUUUAUUGGGCGUAAAGCGAGCGCAGGCGGUUUGAUAAGUCUGAAGUUAAAGGCUGUGGCUCAACCAUAGUUCGCUUUGGAAACUGUCAAACUUGAGUGCAGAAGGGGAGAGUGGAAUUCCAUGUGUAGCGGUGAAAUGCGUAGAUAUAUGGAGGAACACCGGUGGCGAAAGCGGCUCUCUGGCUUGUAACUGACGCUGAGGCUCGAAAGCGUGGGGAGCGAACAGGAUUAGAUACCCUGGUAGUCCACGCCGUAAACGAUGAGUGCUAGGUGUUGGAUCCUUUCCGGGAUUCAGUGCCGCAGCUAACGCAUUAAGCACUCCGCCUGGGGAGUACGACCGCAAGGUUGAAACUCAAAGGAAUUGAC